AGUGAACGCUGGCGGUAGGCCUAACACAUGCAAGUCGAACGGCAGCACAGUAAGAGCUUGCUCUUAUGGGUGGCGAGUGGCGGACGGGUGAGGAAUACAUCGGAAUCUACUUUUUCGUGGGGGAUAACGUAGGGAAACUUACGCUAAUACCGCAUACGACCUACGGGUGAAAGCAGGGGAUCUUCGGACCUUGCGCGAUUGAAUGAGUCGAUGUCGGAUUAGCUAGUUGGCGGGGUAAAGGCCCACCAAGGCGACGAUCCGUAGCUGGUCUGAGAGGAUGAUCAGCCACACUGGAACUGAGACACGGUCCAGACUCCUACGGGAGGCAGCAGUGGGGAAUAUUGGACAAUGGGCGCAAGCCUGAUCCAGCCAUACCGCGAGGGUGAAGAAGGCCUUCGGGUUGUAAAGCCCUUUUGUUGGGAAAGAAAAGCAGCAGGUUAAUACCCCGCUGUUCUGACGGUACCCAAAGAAUAAGCACCGGCUAACUUCGUG
rnacentral:rRNA from 1 species